UACGGAGGAUCCGAGCGUUAUCCGGAUUUAUUGGGUUUAAAGGGAGCGUAGGUGGAUUGUUAAGUCAGUUGUGAAAGUUUGCGGCUCAACCGUAAAAUUGCAGUUGAAACUGGCAGUCUUGAGUACAGUAGAGGUGGGCGGAAUUCGUGGUGUAGCGGUGAAAUGCUUAGAUAUCACGAAGAACUCCGAUUGCGAAGGCAGCUCACUGGACUGCAACUGACACUGAGGCUCGAAAGCGUGGGUAUCGAACAGG
rnacentral:rRNA from 1 species